rnacentral:tRNA from 1 species
UGUUCUGUGGUUUAGUUGGUUCAAACGCCGGACUAGCGACGCGGAGUUGUGGGUUCGAAUCCCACCAAAACAA